rnacentral:lncRNA from 1 species
CAAGAUAACACAGCCCACUAUAAGAGGGGCUGUUUGGCCCCUCCUGAUCUCUUAAGCUUUCACCUUUCUUACCCUCUAGUUCUUUUUCUCUCUUCCCUUACCCCCUCUCUCCACAUGGCCAUGGCCAGUCUCUCUCUCCCUCUUUUACCUUCUCUCUUUCCCCGUCUUUCUACAACAAAGCUCUAAAACCACAGACUGUCUCUGAUCAUAAAGGCCCGGACUAAGGACUCUCACCUGCGUGGGAACCACCCAGCGCCCCUCUUUCCCAGUGCCCUCUCUUCCCAUAUCUCCCAUGCCACACCAGGGGCCCUAUUCUGUUCUCAGCUCCUCCGUAUCCAGCCUGGGAUGCUGGAGACUGAGAACCUGGUACCGGGGCCUGCCCCUUGUCCACCACCUGCUGUGUGGGGUCAGUGGCUUCACACAGCCAGAUACCUACCUGGGACUGCGUGGAAAGCGUCCAGCAGUCCUCCCGUGUCUGCCGGCUCAGAGCACUGGAACUCUGGCAGGACUCAGGCUCUCUCCCUCCCUCCUCUUUCCCACCCACCCACGGUCCGGCAGAGAAACACACCAAGAAACUUCUGGUGGUGUGCCGAGCUUCUUGUCGUUUCCAAGGACUCAAGCUGAUUGGAUGCACGUGCUGAGACAAGAGCCAUCCAGAGGCAAGGUCGUGUCACUGCUGUUGCUAUCCUGACUGGACUGAACUGGACUGCUGGUGUAUCUGUGAGGUGUUUGCGAAUGGAUUGAGCUGCCACUGCCUGCUGACCUGUGAACUCAACUGCUGAUUUCCAGACAACACAGACAGGAGUUGUUGCAAAGAGCCUUUAUAGACAGGCCCGCGCCCCCUUCCCCGCUCCUGUAUCAUUUCUUUUCCAUUACCUCUGGUGGGUGGUGGGUUACAAGAGAGGUUAAAGCAUUUAGGAACCAUCAUUAAAAACAGGGUUUGACAUGGUGGCGCAUGCCUUUAA